AUUGAACGCUGGCGGCAGGCCUAACACAUGCAAGUCGAACGAGAGGCGGACGGAUGAGUUAUGUCUGGGCAACUGACUGAUGGAUGGGGUUAGCUACUGGAAACGGUAGCUAAUCCCGCAUCUCCGAGGAUCUGCCCAGAUGGGUUUAGCUCGUGGGUGGGGUAAAGGCUCACCUAGGCGACGAUCCCUAGCUGGUCUGAGAGGAUGACCAGCCACACUGGAACUGAGACACGGUCCAGACUCCUACGGGAGGCAGCAGUGGGGAAUAUUGCACAAUGGGGGCAAGCCUGAUGCAGCCAUGCCGCGUGUAUGAAGAAGGCCUUCGGGUUGUAAAGUACUUUCAGUGGGGAGGCGUUACCCACAGAAGAAGCACCGGCUAACUCCGUGCCAGCAGCCGCGGUAAUUC
rnacentral:rRNA from 1 species